UGUGAGAAGUAGGCAAAUCCGCUUCUCGCGAAGCAUGAGCUGUGAUGGGGAAGGAAAUUAAGUACGGAAGUUCCUGAUUUCACGCUGUCAAGAAAAGCCUCUAGGAAGAGUAGUACUGCCCGUACCGAAAACCGACACAGGUAGAUGAGGAGAGAAUCCUAAGGUGAGCGAGAGAACUCUCGUUAAGGAACUCGGCAAAAUGACCCCGUAACUUCGGGAGAAGGGGUGCUCUAUUAGGGUGCAAGCCCGAGAGAG
rnacentral:rRNA from 1 species